rnacentral:rRNA from 1 species
UACGUAGGGUGCAAGCGUUGUCCGGAAUUAUUGGGCGUAAAGAGCUCGUAGGCGGUUUGUUGCGUCGGCUGUGAAAUCCCGAGGCUCAACCUCGGGUCUGCAGUCGAUACGAGCAAACUAGAGUGUUGCAGGGGAGACUGGAAUUCCUGGUGAUAGCGGUGAAAUGACGCAGAUAUCAGGAGGAACACCGGUGGCGAAGGCGGGUCUCUGGGCAACAACUGACGCUGGAGGAGCGAAAGCGUGGGGAGC